UGCAUGCGGGAGAGAUCCGGCCGGUGUCCUUCAGGGAGGCAGGCCGGGCGCCGAAGGAGCAACCGCCCCGGAAACUCUCAGGCAAAAGGACCGCAU
rnacentral:ncRNA from 1 species